GACGAACGCUGGCGGCGUGCUUAACACAUGCAAGUCGAACGGAAAGGCCCUGCUUGCAGGGUACUCGAGUGGCGAACGGGUGAGUAACACUUGGGGGAUCUGCCCUGCACUUCGGGUUAAGCUUGGGAAACUGGGUCUAAUACCGGAUAGGAACCAUCUUUAGUGUGGGGGUUGGAAGGUUUUUUCGGUGUAGGAUGAGCUCGCGGCCUAUCAGCUUGUUGGUGGGGUAAUGGCCUACCAAGGCGGCGACGGGUAGCCGGCCUGAGAGGGUGUACGGCCACAUUGGGACUGAGAUACGGCCCAGACUCCUACGGGAGGCAGCAGUGGGGAAUAUUGCACAAUGGGCGCAAGCCUGAUGCAGCGACGCCGCGUGGGGGAUGAAGGCCUUCGGGUUGUAAACUCCUUUCGCUAGGGACGAAGCUUUUUGUGACGGUACCUAGAUAAGAAGCACCGGCUAACUACGUG
rnacentral:rRNA from 1 species